CAGAGAAUAGUUUAUAAAAAAUAAUAAUUUUGGAGAUUAUUGAAAAAGAAAUUCUUUUUCUCUGA
rnacentral:tRNA from 1 species